UCCCAACCGACUUGCCAAAACUAUAGUUUGUUAACAAUACAUUUGUAGAGUGGUUGAAAAAUUAUUUUUAAUGACUCCAACCUAAGUGUAUGUAAACUUACGACUUCAACUGUACCUUUAUUAUUUUAAAGAGUUUUGAAUCCGGCGUAAUUUUGCGUGUCAAUUCAUUAACCAUGUGCCAUGGAAUCGGUACAUUGAAAAUCUCUUCCCAACAAUUUAGCAAUUUAUAUGGCACAGCUGUCCAUUUUUUGGUCAUUAAAUUAAAUUGGUAUAUAUUUUUUAUUUAUCACAACGAGGUUUGCCAAACCAUGAAAAGCAGCGCUGCCUUUCUAAGUUUACAGUGUUUACAAUUUCUUUCCCUUCACUAAAUACUGCCUUUGUGUCCUCUCCUGAUUGGGUGGAAGGCCACUGUGUUUGGAUAACAUCUAAGUGGUAUGUCUGGGGUAAAUUAGAGCAUUUUGUAUUGCUUUAUUGACUACAUAACUGCAAUGGCAUGUUUACAAGGGGGAAAAGUGGAAACCAAUGAUUGUCUCGGGCUCUGUAAUUUUCUCUAGACUCGUCAAACAGACCCACAAUCAUCCAGAGCCAUCAGAGUUUGAGACGGGGUUCGUCGCUUGCUCAAUGUUUUUGUGACACUUUUAUUUAACAUGUGGCUAACGAGGAGAUACCAGGAUAGGGACAUUUCUCAAACUUUCUUGUAAAUCAUGCAAUAAUUAUGAGAUCAAUUAAAAUGAUCUUACUUUGUCACUCACUACUCUCCUUCCCUCCCUCUCUCCCUCCCCCCAUAUUUGAAGCCUACAGUGACAGAGAAGACUGCUGUGCUGUUCUCAGUUGAGGAAAGGAGAGAAUUCAGUUCAGACUUUAUGGAAGGGGGUAGCCAGAGGACCUUAUGAUGCCCUAAGGGUUCAGAUUCUGUUUCCAUAAAACCAUAUUGAAUUAAAGACCAGAGUCAGCCGAGUCUGACUUAUAGACAGAAGAUACUAGUCUAGACCAGAGAGGCCAAAGACGCAGUUAGUGCAUCAUCAUGAAUGCCCCGCCCACAGGAAGUCCCAGCCCAAAUAUGGAGGUGAAGGUGGUCUCCCAGGAGAUGGCGUUGUUUAGCAACGCCCUGGCGGCCUACACCUUCAUAGCAGCCGGAGCGAGCAGCUCUUGUGUUUGUUAGUGGUGUGUGUGUGGGUCUCCUUCUCACCCUCUGUGCCCUGGUGGUGCAGAUACACUGUCGCACCGACUGUCACUACAGUAAUCGACGGCGACAUCACCAUCAGCAUAGAAACAGGACUCACCACCAUCACCAUGGGGACCAUCACUGUCACCACCACCACCAACCUGGAAACCCUAACACAGGCAACCCUGGCGUAACCACGGAGACGAGUGAAGACAGCGACUCAGAGGACUGGGACGACAGGAACUCUGACCUUACGGCUCGACGACGGAGGCGAUUUGAGAGAACGCUGCUGCAAACCAGCGUUUUCACCUCCGCAGAAGAGUUGGAGCGAGCUCAGAGGGUUGAGGAGCGAGAGAGGAUCAUGCGAGAGAUCUGGAUGAAUGGACAGCCUGAUGUCAACACUGUCACACGCAGCCUCAACAGAUACUACUAACAGGAAUGGAGAAAGAGAGGAAGAGAGAGACAAAGAGAGUGAUGGAUACACAUACGGAUGGAAGAAGAGAAAAAGAAAGGAUAGGAAAAUGAUGCAAUUUUAGACAAUGUCGCAUUGGGUGCGUGAAGCCUACAAAUCAAAUCAGAUAUUAUUGGACACAUAGACAUAUUUAGCAGAUGUUAUUGCGGGUGUAGCGAAAUGCUUGUGUUCAGUAGUUGUGGAUAGUGACAAAUGGGAAUUGAUGAGGGAGAGGACAAUGACCUCCCUCCAGUCCCUCUGACACUGGGCACAGAACCAUGAGGUUUAGGGUGUGUCUGGCGCAGUGAUGUAGUGGUAAAGAAAUAGGUGGGUACACGCUUGAUUGCCUUCGCAGUGAGUAAAGUAACGUUCCUUAUACUUUCAAUGCAUUUUCCACAAAAUUUGCGCAAACAUAAAAAAGGUGUGUAAAACAGCUUUUACGUGCAUUUACCCUCCACUACACCACUGGUCUGACAUGACACCAGGCUUACGCCAAUCUAAGGCUCUUGGGAGCUGUGAUGGGGAGGGAGAAAGUGCACACUUCACACUAGAGGAAAGAAGUAGGUCAUGAGAAUGCAGCAGCCUAAUCGUUGCCCAGGGUGGUUCCUCUGGAGUCAGCCCCCGCCCGAGACCUGAGGUGGAAGUUGUCAUCAACCUGUGUGUAAACUGUGACCUUCCUGACGUCAUCCCCAUCACCGUUGACAGCGGCUCACAAUUCACAUCUAUAGAAAUCUCUGUUUUCCUGGCUAAACGUUCUGUUUUUUUUUAUCCUUCGUUCCAGACAGGUACUGACUUACACAGCACAGUUCACUACAAGGACAAGGACCACAGAAAAGACCUGUCAACUGGAAUGACAUUUUUUUUUGCCUUCACUCAAUCUUAAUGUGCAUUUAAUUGAUUCACUGUUGUACUUUGUGGAUUCAUUCCUUUUUAUAAAAUAGCAACACUUUCUUAGUUUGUCUCAGGGACGCUUUGAAGGGUUGUCGUUGGGGAAAUGUUUGCAUUUUGAAGAUGACGCAACAAUCCUUCCUUAGAGAGACUGUGACUAUAAAACUGCGUCAGUUUGGUUUGUCAGCAGGAGUGUGCAUUCGUGAGGUAACUUAGCACGGCUGUGUGCCUUAAACGUAGUCACGGCAGACAGAGGCACUGCUCCAAUUCAGUCAGCUCCUGAACAGUGCCCUUCAGACAACAAGUGCAAUACAGUCCCCGUACAGUCCUAAAAGAAGCCACCACCAUAUUGCUAACACCUAUCUUUUCCCUUCAGAUGUGAAACACUGAAGAGGUAGCUAGAGUCUCUACUAUAUGUGUUGCUUUUGGAGUGAAGCUGGGUGGUGGAACACUAUGAUGUUUUUAAUCGGGUAAAUGGCGCAACGCAACAGUGUUAUUAUCUCUGCAGUGUUUCUGGGUGUUUCCCCGAGCUUGUCGUCUAUAUUAGAAAAGCUGUCUGUGAAGUGAAAAGUCUGUCUGAGAGAGAGGUUCUGUAUGCAUCCUUCCUUCCGCUCUUCCUUGAGGGAAUCGCAGGUCUGAGAGAGGUGUCGAGGUGAAAACAGUCUCGUUCUCACUUAUCCAGUCCAUACAGAUCAGUGAUUUCCUCAACAAAUGGAGAAAAGACGGGAAAUAAACAUUGCAUUGAAGGAUACUUUAAUUUAGUACUCAAACAGGGACAGUGAAUGACUGAGACUAACACACGGACCUUUUAUUGAAUAAUAAAACCCUUUGGAAACAAA